rnacentral:lncRNA from 1 species
CAAGAAGGCUCUUUUAAGAGCACUUUAAAGAGUAGAGAGCACUAAUGAAGCUGUUUCAUCUUUGCUGGCUGUGUGUUUACAAGGUGGGGGUAAAGGGAAUCCUGCUGCGCGUAGCAAAUGCAUGUAGGGCAAAGCAGUUAAUGGGAUGAAAAUGAAAUCUAUACCCAGGGCUUAAUUAAGAAGUUGUUUUUAUUCAUGUUCCAGGAGCAAGCCCCCCGGAUCAGAGAUGCUGAACGCUUGCUGGGUUGUUGUCCUGCACGGGCUGGGGUCUGUGAGCCACUGACGCACCAGCAGAAUUAUUUAAAUACUGUUUUUGUGUCUUCAGUGGAUAGCAAUAGGAGAAUGAGUUUUGCAGAGAAUUUGGACCGCAGUCGUGAAGAAAGAUGCAGAGCUCCAUAA